GAGACAGCAGCCGCCACGGUAAUACAGAGGCCUCAAGCGUUGUUCGGAUUCAUUGGGCGUAAAGGGUGCGUAGGCGGUUCCGUUAGUCGGAUGUGAAAUCCUGGGGCUCAACCCCAGAACUGCAUUCGAUACUGCGGGGCUAGAGGACUGGAGAGGAGAGUGGAAUUCACGGUGUAGCAGUGAAAUGCGUAGAUAUCGUGAGGAAGACCAGCGGCGAAGGCGGCUCUCUGGACAGUUCCUGACGCUGAUGCACGAAGGCCAGGGGAGCAAACGGGAUUAGAUACCCGUGUAGUCCCUGUCUCUUAUAC
rnacentral:rRNA from 1 species